CCUCUCUAUGAAAGACAAGGGAGGAUUUGACAGAUUUAACAGAUUUUCACUGGAAGUCACUUUAUCCCUAAAGGAACGAUGACAUGCUGUACUAUAUAUUAUAUUCUCCUAUAGCGGAUGUAUCCAGAAUAAGAAAUGGUUGAAAAAAAAACAUGAGGAAAGGCUCAUGUAUCCAAUUAUAAGAGAUGCCCAGUUCCAAAGCAGUGGAUGAUGUCACUGUUUACUGUCUUCAGUUUCUCAGCAUAACAUUGCUCUCUUCAUUGCCUUAUCUAGGUCAUCUGAUCAGCAGCUCGCUUUGCUUUGUGUUUCGCAGACAAUAUCUGCCGUGACUUAGGUGGUUUGCUUUGAACAGAGAAGUACGGAUUUAGUGGCAUCCACGUCCGGAGGAAGGAGCGCAAUCCACAUGUAUUUAUUUAUGACAUUAUAUUACCCUCUUUGCCUGCUCUCGCUAUUUUCUAUUUCUGGGUUGCCGGACAACAUCCAUCUAGUGUCGGAUUACUUGCAUUUUCUCACUUUCUCACUUCCACCACUCUGAUGUAUAACGUUCUCUGAUUGCUGUAAGAUGCUGACUGACGCCUUCUCUGAAUUUGCACCGGCUUUGAAGGAUUUGCCUCAUGCUGAGACAGAGCUGACCAAUGACCCACGGCUGCCAAGGGGCAGGGCACAAUCUCCACCGGGCUUGCUUAGCCACAGCUCCAGCAUAGGGCACCAUACACAACGUGCACGGUGCUCUCCACAGGGCUGAGACAGGGCUGAUCCACCAUGGCUAUGAAGGGCCACAGGGCACUGUGCUGUAGCUUGCUGUCGAACCUGAGCCCUAGGACCAUACGUCAGGACUACCGGGCAUGACGACUCCCUGCUGCCCCCAGUCCGCCUGGCCUUGCUGCUAUUCCAGUUUCAACGGUUCUGCCUGCGGUUACGGAACCCCUACCUGUCCCAGACCUGCUGUUUUCAACUCUUAAUGAUCAGCUAUGAAAAGCCAACAGAUUUAUUCCUGAUUAUUAUUUGACCAUGCUUGUUAUUUAUGAACAUUUUGAAAAUCUUGGCUCUCUCUAAUUUUCUCCUUCUCUCUUUCUUUCUCUCGGAGGACCUGAGUCCUGGGACCAUACGUCGGGACUGCCGGGCGUGGUGGCUCCUUGCUGUCCCCAGUCCGCCUGGCCUUGCUGCUGUUCCAGUUUCAACGGUUCUGCCUGCGGUUACGGAACCCCUACCUGUCCCAGACCUGCUGUUUUCAACUCUUAAUGAUCGGCUAUGAAAAGCCAACAGAUUUAUUCCUGAUUAUUAUUUGACCAUGCUUGUUAUUUAUGAACAUUUUGAAAAUCUUGGCUCUCUCUAAUUUUCUCCUUCUCUCUUUCUUUCUCUCGGAGGACCUGAGCCCUGGGACCAUACGUCGGGACUGCCGGGCGUGGUGGCUCCUUGCUGUCCCCAGUCCGCCUGGCCUUGCUGCUGUUCUGCCUGCGGUUAUGGAACCGCCACCUGUCCCAGACCUGUUGUUUUUCAACUCUUAAUGAUCGGCUAUGAAAAGCCAACUGAAUAUUAUUCAUGAUUAUUAUUUGACCAUGCUUGUCACUUAUGAACAUUUUUUGAACAUCUUGGCAUAGUUCUGUUAUAAUCUCCACCCGGCACAGCCAGAAGAGGACUGGCCACCCCUCAUAGCCUGUUUCCUCUCUAGGUUUCUUCCUAGGUUUUGGCCUUUCUAGGGAGUUUUUCCUAGCCACCGUGCUUCUACACCUGCAUUCUAGCUGUUUGGGGUUUUAGGCUGGGUCUCUGUACAGCACUUCGAGAUAUUAGCUGAUGUACGAAGGGCUAUAUAAAAUAAACUUGAUUGAUUGAUUGAAA